UACGAAGGGGCUAGCGUUGUUCGGAAUUACUGGGCGUAAAGCGAGCGUAGGUUGCUCGAUAAGUCAGUGGUGAAAUCCCAGAGCUCAACUCUGGAACUGCCAUUGAAACUGUCGAGCUGGAAUCUCAGAGGGGUAGCGGAAUUCCAAAUGUAGGGGUGAAAUCCGUAGAUAUUUGGAGGAACACCGGUGGCGAAGGCGGCUACCUGGAUGAGUAUUGGACACUGAGGCUCGAAAGCGUGGGGAUCAAACAGG
rnacentral:rRNA from 1 species